AUAUAUAUAUAUAUAUAUAAAAAUCGUCAACCUAAAAAUUUAUAGCUUACAACUAUAAAACAAUGGGAGUGGAAAAUUAAUAAAUUUGGAAAUUGGUUUUCCAUUAUUUGUAGAUAAUUAAGCAUGUAAUUACUAAUCUACCAACCUCUGCAUCGCAAUCCUUUCUAUAAAUACAUCCAAGCAAUUCACAGAAAAAGAUAACAGACAUAAGAUGGACCCCAAUGCUCCUCCUUGGAUUCCCUUCUAUUUCAUAUAUAUUCAAAAAGCAACAGGAAGCAAACAACUCCAAUACCACACAUGAAAAAUUAUCACAACUCUUCCACAUAUAGCACACAGAAUAAUCAAGAUGCAAUUUUAUUUGGGUUUACUGCCUUCCCAGAAUGGAUUUGAUCCACCAAAUUCCUUUGGUGUCCUUGGGGCCAUCUUCUCCCUCUGGUGGUGGGUCUGUUUGUAGUGUCUUGUGUAGCUUGCUCACAUCAUACCCUUCUUCUUUGGCCUUCUCCACCAGCUGGUUGUAGAUCUCAUCAUCAAGAUGAGUUUGCCUGCAAAGAAUCCAAAGGUAAUUCCUACUGGGUUGCCCAAUCAAAGCAUAACUAUAGUUGUCAUCUAAAAUCAAAAUCCAGUAAUCCCCAACAACAGGAAUGAUGGGCAAGAAAGGAGGGACAUAAAAUUUAACCUUGAGCUUAGCUUCAUCACUUGUGGGAUCAGCCUUGUAGGCUGUACCCUCUAUAUACCCUCUUUUCCCAUCAGUCCAUGUCUCAUUCAGGACAUGAACAGUACCAUCCUCAUUCAAAGUGUAGGUAGCCCUUGUAUUCACUCCAUUCUUGGGCUGAAAUCUUGAUGGGAAUGAAGCUAUUUCAUACCAUCUCCCCAUGUACCUCUUUAGGUCUACACCCUUCACCACUUCCAUCUCUUUCUUUGAUGCCAUAUCAAUUGUUUCCUGUGAAAAGUAAGAGGAUCUCUGCUAUGGGUUUGUUGGAGUGAUUCUUGGAUGUAGAUA
rnacentral:misc_RNA from 1 species